CGUGCGGGCGCUAACGUGACAGCGCUUCCGGUUCGGGUGCCGGCGGUGCCGCCGCUCCCUCGGCGGGCGGAGUGUGGGGCUCGGGCACCCGGCGGCAUCGGGGCGGGCGCUGGGGCCGCGCGGCGCUGCCGCUGCUGCUCCGGGCUGCUGCCGGGGCUCCCGUGCCGCCGGCCGUGCGCGGGAGGGCGGUGCGGGGAUUUCCCCGCGCUGAGGGGAACCGGCCCCGGCGCCUCCCGAACCCGCCGCUCCGGCGCUGCCAGGGAGUUUGUGAUCAAUUAAAAAGAUGCCUUGUAUUCUCGGAGUGGUGCAUUCUACCUCUGCUGUUUUUCCUGCUAGUCUGGAUCCUCUGCUUAGAUUUUUUCUUCAUAUUUUAGGUGCCCUGGCUGUGGUGGAUGUCCCGGUCGAGGGCAGUGAUGGCUUUCAUGAAGAAAUCUUUAAAUGAAGACGGGAUUACCCAAACCUUUCCCUUCCCUGCUGCACUAGAAGCCAGGAAUAUCCUGUUGCUUCAGUCUGAAAACGGAACAGGACACCUUGAUAAGCGUGAUUCCUAGAGCUGAAGGGAGACACCACAGCCAGACAAGGUGUGCAACCACCUGACUUAUUUCUUCAACCACCUGAUUUAUUUCUAGUACAAUUAGAACAAACAGCCCUUUCCUUUUUAAUAAAGAUAAAGCACCUAGUUUAAAAAUCACGAGGAGGUGAGCAAAGAACCUGCUGUGCCCCUGGAUUCUGCAUUUACCACUUUGCUAAAGAGAGCCUAUGAGAGAGGAAGCAAUACCCUACUGGAAGGUGGUGUUCAGACAAAAUUGGCUUCCUGGCUCCCACCUGACCAGCUUUUGUUGGGAGUAAAGCAUGUGCUGUUAUACCUGAAAUCCACAGUGGAGAACUUCAGCAGGGUAAGAGCAAUAUUGUAAUAAUAUUGUGGUUAUGUUUGAUUUAUUUUCAUGUAGAAGGUACAAAUGACUUAGCUGUUCAAACUUAGGUUCCAGUUCUGUAGCUCUUUUUUCUGUGCUUGUCUCUGAGGCUGCACAGCACCGUACAAAACUGCACGUAAUUUGUAAACAAAUGCCAGUUCUUAUUAUUGAGGAUUUGCUUUGGAUUUACUUUGCAUGGGUUACCUUGCUGAUCAGUGUGAGUGCAAAUAACCUCGAGAUUUUAAUCCAGCUCCUGGGUCUCCCCAGGAAGCCUUUGCAGAGAGUAAAAUUCACUGGCCUGUGUACCUCCAAAUGUCAUAUAUAUAAUGUAUAAAUGAAUAUAUAUAGAUGUGUAAAUGAAAUUCUAUCACUAUUUAUUUGGCAACCUGAGACUUCUCUUAGAAUCAGGUUUCUAUUAAGGGAGGUGGUUCCUUCUCCCAGAAGAGGUUGUAAUCUAAGUAGUUCUUAGUUAACUCCUAUUCCUGCUGUAUAAUUACCUGUCUGCUCCCAUCCUCCUCUUUUCUUCACUUCCAACAUGUCUUUGUUUUCAUAGCUUGGUAAAACUUUGGGUCCUCAGCUUGUUGAUCUCUGUGUGGACCUGCUGAGCAUCUUGUUGUGCCGGGACAAUGAAAUAAAGCUGGAGCAGCAGCAGAAGCAGGAGGAGCAUCAGGCUGAUGGGAUCUCUUCAUGGAUGAGGAGCCUCUGAUGACAGAAGUGUCUUCAAAUGACAAGACCCUGGAGGAUGCACUCACCUUGAUUUUCAGACAUCCUGCACUGGAGAGCUGGUUCCUGGCGUUGGAGCUGCGCUCUAUUCCUCAG